rnacentral:rRNA from 1 species
UACGUAGGGUGCGAGCGUUAAUCGGAAUUACUGGGCGUAAAGCGUGCGCAGGCGGUUCGCAAAGUCUGAUGUGAAAGCCCCGGGCUUAACCUGGGAACGGCCGUUGAAACUGGCGAACUGGAGUGUGGCAGAGGGGGGUGGAAUUCCGCGUGUAGCAGUGAAAUGCGUAGAGAUGCGGAGGAACACCGAUGGCGAAGGCAGCCCCCUGGGCUAACACUGACGCUCAGGCACGAAAGCGUGGGGAGCAAACAGG